UACAGGGGGUGCAAACGUUGCUCGGAAUCAUUGGGCGUAAAGCGCACGUAGGCGGUUCGUUAUGUCGGAUGUGAAAGCCCUUGGCUUAACCGAGGAAGUGCAUCCGAAACUGGCGAGCUAGAGUACUAAAGAGGAUCGCGGAAUUCCCGAUGUAGAGGUGAAAUUCGUAGAUAUCGGGAGGAACACCGGUGGUGAAGGCGGCGAUCUGGGUAGAUACUGACGCUGAGGUGCGAAAGCGUGGGGAGCAAACAGG
rnacentral:rRNA from 1 species